CGCGAAAACUCUACAAUGCACGCAAGUGUGAUAGGGCAACCCCUCGUGCUCAACUAACGUUGGGCUUUUAUUAUUGUGUAAUGUGCAUUAAUAGAAUAAGUGGUGGGGCAAGACCGGUGCCAGCAGCCGCGGUAAUACCGGCGCCACGAGUGGAGUUCACUAUUAUUGGGUCUAAAGUGUCCGUAGCUGGUUUAUUAAGUCUCUUGUGAAAUUUCUGUUGCUUAACUCAGAAACUGCAAGAGAUACUGGUAAACUCGAGACCGGAAGAGGUAACAAGUAUUGUUUGGUAGCGGUAAAAAUGCUAUAAUCCUUACAAGACUAACUAAGGCGAAGGCAU
rnacentral:rRNA from 1 species